AAGCGAAAGCAUUAAGUAUUCCACCUGGGGAGUACGCCGGCAACGGUGAAACUCAAAGGAAUUGACGGGGGCCCGCACAAGCGGAGGAACAUGUGGUUUAAUUCGAUGAUACGCGAGGAACCUUACCCGGGCUUAAAUUGCACCUGAAUAAUGUGGAAACAUGUUAGCCGUAAGGCAGGUGUGAAGGUGCUGCAUGGUUGUCGUCAGCUCGUGCCGUGAGGUGUCGGCUUAAGUGCCAUAACGAGCGCAACCCUUAUCUUCAGUUACUAACAGGUCAUGCUGAGGACUCUGGAGAGACUGCCGUCGUAAGAUGUGAGGAAGGUGGGGAUGACGUCAAAUCAGCACGGCCCUUACGUCCGGGACUACACACGUGUUACAAUGGGAGGUACAGAAGGCCGCUACCUGGCGACAGGAUGCCAAUCCCCAAAACCUCUCUCAGUUCGGAUCGAAGUCUGCAACCCGACUUCGUGAAGCUGGAUUCGCUAGUAAUCGCGCAUCAGCCAUGGCGCGGUGAAUACGUUCCCGGGCCUUGUACACACCGCCCGUC
rnacentral:rRNA from 1 species